rnacentral:rRNA from 1 species
CAGCAGCCGCGGUAAUACAGAGGGUGCAAGCGUUAAUCGGAAUUACUGGGCGUAAAGCGCGCGUAGGUGGUUUGUUAAGUUGGAUGUGAAAUCCCCGGGCUCAACCUGGGAACUGCAUCCAAAACUGGCAAGCUAGAGUAUGGUAGAGGGUGGUGGAAUUUCCUGUGUAGCGGUGAAAUGCGUAGAUAUAGGAAGGAACACCAGUGGCGAAGGAGACCACCUGGACUGAUACUGACACUGAGGUGCGAAAGCGUGGGGAGCAAACAGGAUUAGAUACCCCGGUAGUCCCUGUCUCUUAUAC